rnacentral:lncRNA from 1 species
GAAAGAAAUACAUAUUAUAUUCAUAACUGCACCAUCUCAAAAAAUCCUGUCAACAUUGUUCAUCAAAUCAGUUUAUUGGAAACUCCUGUUUAUUUUCCAGGAUGACUCCUUCUUGGAAACUAUUGUCUCCAUCACUGCUUACGAGUUGACACAUUUAUGCUGCACAAAUUUUGGACCAGCAGUGUUUGGCAAUGAUAAAGCAGUUUAUCAGCUUUUAAGCAACUUAGCCAAACACAAGACGGUUCAAGAUGAUAUCUGGGAAAAAGGCAAUAAAGGUCUGAUGCAACUGUUGCACGAUUUGGAGGUGUUUUACCCUAUUUCAGUAGCUGACUUACUUCUCGUUCUAAUUCCAUUUUGCUCCAGCAAAGAACGAUGUGAUACGAUUGUAGAAAUGAUGGACAAGCAGAUGUUGUAUUAUACUUCAGAAAGUGUAAUGUUAUCGCAGACGGAAAGUCAAGAAUGGGUGAACAGCUUCGAUUUUCAUCCUUUGGCAUUUGUACAACAAGUUUGCAUUCCUAAAGGGACAAAGUGUAAGCGAAUUGAAGGCAACUUUCGUUGGGACUACACCAUAUCAUUUUGGCACAUCAUGACUGAUUAUUUGCGCAAUUAUGUUCGAGUUUGCUCAACCGCAGUUCAUCAUACCAUUCAUCAAGAUUUACGUCGAAAGGUUCUUAUGUACCUGAAAUUUACCUGCACUUUUAUGAAAUAUAGCAUAGAUACCUCUCACGUAUUUCUGGCUGCAUUGGAUGAAAUGUUGAUUCUUCUUUCCAAAAUUCCUUUCACUGAGAAGACUGUCGACAUAGAAAUUAUCACUGCCUGCCUACAGCUUUACACUGAAGCCGUUGCUGUAUUCCCUCAAAGAAUAGUGGCGUUGUGUUCAGAUCUACCAGUCUUUCCAAAGUGUGAGCGA